rnacentral:tRNA from 1 species
AGGAACUUAGGAUAAUUAGACCAAAAACCUUCAAAGUUUUAAGUAUGAGUUAAAAUCUCUUAGUUUCUG